GGAAGUAGCCCCUUGAGACUAUUUGUACUUUUUUUUUUUCAAACAGUGGGGCUCCAGAGCCUGUACAUGUUGCUGGGUGUGCAGUAAACACACAGAAAACAGUAUAUGCCCACCCUGCUCGUGAGGAGGGAGUUGCUGAGUCUACACUCUGUGCCAUCUACCAUGCAAUUCACCACAGUAAUUUCGAAUAGCUUCUUGGGUCUUGCAUCAUUUGUGAAAGUGAAGCAAACCUUCCUCUACUGUACAGAGUGUCCAGAAAUAGAGCUCAUCAGAGUAACCCAGUUGACAUAAUGAGUGCCUUCACGUUCUCAUCAUACGAUGCGGGUUUCAACAGUGUUCCUAGGAGUUCCCAUCGUGGUGCAGCAGAAGCGGAUCUGACUAGGAAUCAUGAGGUUGCAGGUUCGAUCCCUGGCCUCACUCAGUGAGUUAAGGAUCCAGCGUUGCCAUGAGCUGUGGUGUAGGUCACAGACGCGGCUCAGAUCUGGUGUUGCUGUGGCUGUGGAGUAAGCCAGCAGCUACAGCUCUGAUUAGAGCCCUAGCCUGGAAAACUCCAUAUGCCAUGGGUGCGGCCCUAAAAAGACAAAAUAAAUAAAUAAAUAAAUAGUUUUCCUAUUUUUUU
rnacentral:lncRNA from 1 species